GCUGGGCAUGGUGGCGCGUGCCUGUAAUCCCAGCUACUCGGGAGGCUGAGGCAGGAGAAUUGCCUGAACCCAGGAGAGGUGGAGGUUGCGGUGAGCCGAGAUCGCGCCAUUGCACUCCAGUCUGGGUAACAAGAGUGAAACUCUGUCUCAAAAAAAAAAAAGAAAUGGCAAUAUGACUGGAACAUAAUAGAUUAUUUUUUUGUUGUUUUUACGUUUUUUUUGAGACAGAGUUUCGCUGUUGUUACCCAGGCUGGAGUGCAAUGGCGCGAUCUCGGCUCACCGCAACCUCCGCCCUCCUGGGUUCAGGCAAUUCUCCUGCCUCA
rnacentral:SRP_RNA from 1 species